UACGUAGGGUGCAAGCGUUGUCCGGAAUUAUUGGGCGUAAAGAGCGUGUAGGCGGCCCGGUUAGUCCGCUGUGAAAGUCCAGGGCUUAACCCUGGAAUGCCGGUGGAUACUGUCGGGCUAGAGUCCGGAAGGGGCGAGUGGAAUUCCUGGUGUAGCGGUGAAAUGCGCAGAUAUCAGGAGGAACACCAAUGGCGAAGGCAGCUCGCUGGGACGUGACUGACGCUGAGACGCGAAAGCGUGGGGAGCAAACAGG
rnacentral:rRNA from 1 species